rnacentral:RNase_P_RNA from 1 species
UUAGCAGAUCGGAUGGUCGCUUGUCUGCGAAAGCCGGCGAGAGGAAAGUCCGAGCUCCGGAUCCGCCUUUGCAUUCAACUAGAAAUAGACUGAAUGCUUCGGCGAGACCCUCCGAAGCAUUCAAUCUAUUGCGUUUUGAAUGCGGAGGAGGGGAGCAGCGUAACGGUUAAUAGCCGUCCGUCGAAAGACGAGGAUAUUCUGCUUUGCCAUUCACUUAGGGGAACUGAGGUAUGGCUUCGCAGAAAUCUCUCCGAAGCUCAAAGCUGAAAAGCUUUGAGCGAAGGAGGAUAGAGCCACAGAGACGAGUCUGCUUCGCCCUUCAACCGGUUAUAGCCGGUAGGGUUUCGCAGGACCAAGGUCCCGCAUAGGGGCCUGUCCCUACGAAGCCAUACCAGAGUUUUGCUGGUUGAUUGGCGAAGCAGGGUGAAACGAGGCAAUCUCUACGCGGAGCAAGAUCAAAUAGGUUCCGAUUUAAGGGUGGCUCGCCCUUACUGUAAAUACGUCAGUAUCGGAACGGGUAAGAUCGCUCGAUCGCCGGAGUAAUCCGGCGACUAGAUAGAUGACCAUCUCGCUUCGUAUCGAAAGGUGCGGGGCAAGACAAAACUCGGCUUACAGAUCUGCUAGAACA